rnacentral:lncRNA from 1 species
CUCUGGACCUAGCAUGGACCCUAUUAAGGCCCAGUGACUUGGAAGCAACUAUGGACUCAGAUGAGGGGAGCACUGAACUAUCACUGGGGUGAUAACCGGUUCAGUGAUAGCAUGCUCACUUAGCAUGCAUGAUGCUCUGGGUUAAAGUUCUAGUAUGGGGAAAACAUUUAAAAAUUAAAUGUUGAGCAGUGGUUGUACACGCCUUUAAUCCCAGCACUGGGGAGAGAGGUAGCUGGAUCUCUGAGUUCAAGGCCAGCUGGUCUACAGAGUGAGUUCCAGUACAGCCAGGGUUACACAGAGAAACCCUGUCUUGAAGAAGAAAAGAAGAAGAAGCCUGGCUUAACUGGGUGUGGUCUUCCAUUCUUGAGUCCCAACACUCUGGAGGCAGAGCUUCCCAAGUGCUGGAGUUACAGCCAUGUACCACUAUGCCAGGCUUCCUGUACCAUUUCCCAGACAAGGACCAGCAGAGUGUUGUUCCUGCUCCAUAGAUGACGGUAUGGGAAGGUGAUCCGGUGCUUUUCACAUGGUCAGGGCUACCCUUUUUGGUACUUUGCUUCCUGCCUUUUCCAUCACUGACAGAUGUGCAGGGUGUAGGAUGCAAAGGGGCUACCAGUACAUGGCAGACUGCAGAUCUGGCUUAUGUUAGGACUCCCAUAUGGAAGGCUCUCAGAAGGAAAAGGACAUGUUUGGAGGGAAAGAACUGACAGAAAAUUAUAUUUUUCUGAAUCAGCACCAAGUGGACUGUGUAACACAGGCCAAAGGAGCCAAAGAGGGGAAAGGAGCCCAGGCACAGAGCAUCACCCAGAUUGGGAACAAGUCCAUGUGUGUGAUUCUGUCAGCCAGCUGUGCUGUGGGAAAGAGGUGGAGAGAAGCCAAGCCAAAGGUUGGCCAAAGAGAAGAUGCCAUGGCUUCUGUAAGCCCAAUGGUGUGCACAGAUGCACAAGAUCCCGUAGCUGCCCCAUGGAGAUGCAAGAGCUCUUAGAGGGCAAGCCCCAGUGAGGAAAAGGAAGGGUUCUGUGUUCCCAGUAACUGCCUAUGACAAGUGCCACCUAAGAAAGCCACACAGCACAAGCUGAGGGCUGUUUCUCCAGCCAGGCGAUCAGAGACAAUGUGCAAUUUGUGGACGCUGGUGACACAGGGAACAUUGGGGUCUCCUGGAAGAGCUCUUAGGCUCAUUAAACAAUGGAUUCAAAUGGGACCAUUUUAUUAGUGUUUAAAGGAAAAACUGC